AGCAACUCAAAAACUCAAACUCAGUUUGAGUUAUUGGGAAUAAGUUUUUCUUUUCCUAAUGUGCAGUGAUUAAAAUGUGCUUUAGCAUUCCUUUAACUUCUUUGGAAGAGUCAUUUCUGUUUGUGAUAUAAUAACAUUUUUGUUGAUGUUUUAAAUUAUGUGCAAAUCCCUAUUUUUUUUUAAUCGUAACUAAUAAUUAUUUCUUCUUGUAACUUAUUAAUCUCUUAUUGUCACUGCUCAACAUUUCUGCAAAGGAAAACUCAAGCAGGGUUCACUCAGCCAUUUCUACCAGGAUUAAUGUUUGCAAAGUAUUUCUUGGAUUAUUGCACUUAACAGCUGGUGACUGUGAAAAUUUUAACCAUGACCAUAUUCAGUGUCGUGGCUGACUCUUCAGUGAUGGAGGGAUUCUGUCAGAUUUCUUUUGUCAUGCACUCUGUCAUAUGCCAUUUUAAGCUGUGCUGGCAGUAGCAGAUGCGAAGUAUACCAUAUGUAAUCACUAGGAGAUAGGUCUUUGUAAUAGAAAGAGGCUACUGCUAAUAGGGAAGAGAAUCGGAUCAGUAUAUUGCAAGGAAUAUAUUUUUCCCCCUACUUCUCUCUCAGAAACUGUGGAGCAAGAAAUCAAUUUCCCAACCCUAUGCCAAAAGAGAAGAUUCAGCUCCCAGUUACGAUACCUAAUGUAUGUUCAGGGACACUAUUGACUUUCUCAAAAAUAGAAUUAUAGAAGUGCCUGUAGUCAUGAGGACAGGACAUGAUCUGGUCAGUCAGAGAUGUAAGAUUUUAUUAGAUCAACUCAUAACAGGACAAAAAAAAGGGCUUGUACACUCAAAAUGUUUUUCUAUAAAGCAGAAACCAUAAUCUCACUUUAUGAGUUUAGUUUAGGUAGCAGUAUUGGGUGCAAGAUAAAACUGUUUUGUCAGUUUGUGAGGUGCACUGAAAUACAGCCUCUACCAUAACAGAAGAGGACAGGUUGGACAUCAGUUGCCCUACUGGGAUCAUCUCUUGGACGAGCUGAGGCUAGGAGAAGUGUAUCAGUACUGGCAGUAACUUUUUAAAAAGACAUUACUCAGGUUUUGGUUUGCUUUGGGUUUGUUGGGGUUUUUUUGUUUAUUUGGGGGUUUGGGUUGUUUUUUUCUGUUGCUCUUUUUGCAGCAAGUGAAAAACCAUCUCAUCCUGACUUUAAAGUAGUCAGCGAUUGACAGUCCGUAAAACACCCUAGUAAAAUUUUCAGUGGUUGAUCACACUUACUUUAAAGAUCUUCCCUGUUGCUGACAACCUGAAUUUCUCUCUGAACAGCAGUUCAGGGGUUAGUCAGGAAAGCAUGGCUUAAAUAACAAGCAAAAGAAUUUUUAAGUCCUGAUUCUACCUUCUCUUCAAGGAUCUUGACAUUUCUGAAGGGGCUGUAUAAUUUUAUUUAAUCUCCAGCUAUGCCAAAUUCCAGAAUUAUUUCAGUGCAAUAGGAGUGGAACAAUAGGUGGAAGCAGCUGGGGAUAGGCUUUUUGCUUCUGUGAGUCAAAGCUAAAAGCUGGGUUCUUAGAGUAUGUUUCCCAGUCUGUAGUUUACUUACUUCAGACUGGGCGAGGACAUACAAAUUAUUGCAAAGUAAGCCGAAGAAGAAGGAAAAAGGUGAUGGUGUGGUUCUGGGAUGGCAUAAAAGUGUUGGCCAGUUUGAAAUCUUGGAAUCUAAACCACAUGCUUUAAACUGAUUCACUUGAAAAUGUUAUUUAAUGAAUAGAUUCCUUAAUAUCUCAAAUCAUAAAAUGUUUUAAGAGUUAUAUGCAUGGUAACUAGCUACACACAAAUUUACAUUUAAAAAAAUAAUUGUAAAAUAAGUUACAAUCCUCUCUUUGAUGACGUAUUGUGCAAUUUUUUUGUGUUUAAUUCUGUUAUCACAUUGUAUAUGGAGUAGCCUCUUCAUCUCAUAAAAGCACUUUCAAUUUUGAAUUAAAACUUGGAACCUAUAAUAGGUUCUUACAAUAAACUGAUUUUAUAUAUAUUCUAUCUUUCUAAGAACCUUGAAAUUGCAAGUUUCACCGUCUCAUAAUAGUGCAGAAAUGAAAGGGUAAUACUGGGCGUAAAAUACAUAAUGAAAUAAGUUCUUUUGAAUAGGUAUUUUCCCAUCAUAUUUUAACCAGGUUAAUUAAUGCUAUCAUGACUCCACCAUACAUUUAAGUUCAGGUGAAAUCUAGUGAAUCACACCAAUGGGACAUGUUAGCGACUAGACAAUUUCUCCAUGGCAGUAGCAGAUUGAGUGAAGUCUUGAAUGCAAAAGGCAAGGUAAAUGGGCGGUGUAUGUAGUAAACCCUUCGUGUUCUGUCACAAUAAAAUGCCUGCCUGAAAAAUAUGCAAUCAAUUCGCAGAAAAAAACCCUGAACACUCCAACAAAAAACCCUCCUUGUUCUCGUUUGGUGCUUUCCAGAAACGUAUUUUUCUGGGUGAAGGGCUAGUUGCUUUGUAUUUUUUUCUAAUUUCAUUGCAAGAGAAUGACAAGCUGAAAUGCUUUAAGCAAACAGAUUGUUACUUUCAGUGCUUAUUUUCCUGGUUGUCACAAUUAUUGUCCUACAUUAAUCUUAUGCUCUUAUUGCUUAAUGUCUUUAGUGGGGGAGUUGUUUGUUCUCUGUUUAUCUGUCACCAUACUGUGAAUGCAACAGGAGUGUCAUCUGGAGGGGGCAGGUUUGUGGUGUAAACACUUUUUGAACACCUACACGCUACUAAAACAGAGCUCCAGUGACUAAGCGGGUCAGCUCAGACCUUCUGAGAUAAAUGUGCAUAGACUGUAACUCUAUCAUGGAAGGACUGAUUUUACUCUGCAUUUUUAACAACAUAGCAUUGGACAUUAAUGUUGAAAGGCAUCAGCUGCCAGGCAUUAUAAUAUUAUAUGAGGCCUUUAUGACUAAUUCUGAAAAUGGAUGUCUUUUCACUUCUUUUUGGACAUUAAAGCAUCCACAGUGUUUCUUAAAUAUUUUAAAAGAAAACUUGCCAAAAAUAACGACUGCGAUUUAUUGGCCAGAGCAUUCCUCAACUGAGAGCAGGCCGCCUUCUGUACAAUAUCAGUCGAAUACUGUAUCCUCUGUACAUUUAACUUGCUCACACUAAUAGCAUUUAGUUCAGUCCCCAAACAGGAAAGUCAUUUGAGAUUUAUUUAAACUAAAGGCAAUUCUUCUUCAAUGUCAUCUAUUCUGAAAUCCACUGAGAUCAAAAGUGCUUUUCAUAAUAAUUAAAUGUAAAUUAAUUGAUGGUGGAUUUGAACUGAAAAACCCAAAAUGUUAAUGAAGAGAACAGUUGUGAUAUAGUUGUUCACACCUACCUAAAAUCCUAAUUCUAUGUAGGGAUCGCUAUGGCUGAAAGAGUUACAGAGGUUAAGUUUGUAUCAGUACUCGUUCACUCUCUCUCCUCUCCCCCAGUUGCUCUCUGCACUAAUUAAGAACCCCACAAAACACCAAAACCCAACAAUGAAAACCCUUUUAGCACCUACACAGUAAUAAUACAGAAAUGACAUAGAAACAGCAGCCAGGGCAAACAGCAUUCCCUUUAUUCCUAGAAUGGGCCAGCCUGUCUAAAGGGCAUACAUCUUUCUGUCUCUAGUUUAAAAAAAAAAAUAAAAUAAAACAAAACCAAAAUUAUUUUGCUGUGGCCAGGAAAUAAUCUAGGCCGUAUUAGAAGCUCAGGAAGACCAGGCACUGAUACCAUUUAUAUAGAGCCAGCUCUCCAGUAAGGGAAAUCGAUUGAAAGAAUCCACAGCCUUGCUGUAAAACAGGGCGUAGGAUUGAAGCACAAUCUUUUGCUUCAAUAAAACCGUUACUUUUUGGCUGAAAAAUAACAUCCCUGAAAUAUAUUGACAGGAUGUCUUCCUGUGUUGGCUAGUGGGAAUUUUGUAUAAGACCUCUUUUAUGGGCUAGUCAUCUCAGAAAUUGGUUCUCUUGUUUCUCCCUCCAGUUUUAUGCACGUUACAUUACAGUGGAUUAAGUCUUUAUGGGGAACAUGGUGAUGGGCUGCAGCCAAGCAAAAACUCCUUGAGAUGUACCCUAAGUGUGUAUUUAAUUCAAAAUAUCGUGAAUUUCAAGGCAAACAUUUUAUUUUUUAAAUCUGUAGUAUUUCAGUAAAAGUAUAGAAAAAUACGUCAAAACAUUUUGAUUGACCAUAAUAAUGACUGUUACAAGGAGAUGUAGUGUGCAGAAUAAGCCGAAUUUAACAUUAACCUGCAAUAUCAGAUAUAUCAAGCAUUUUACUAAUCUCUGAGGAAGCAACACUGACUAACGCAGUAAAUAGCAUAUGGGGGCUUGUUUCUCCCUUCCUGUCAAUGAACAGCACUAGCAGCGGUGUUAGACUCUACUUAGACCAGAGCUAUCAAAUGGGUAAGCUGAGAGUAGGUAAGGAGGAUGAAUAAACCAAACUCUCACUGGCUGAUGCAGAGUGUCAGAAAGAAAAUCUGCAGGCUCAUCUGGGGUCCAGACCUGACAAAUUUCUUGUCGCAAAACUAGUGGAUGUUGUUCACCAUUUUACAGUAAGAAAGCCAGGCUUUUUUUUUUUUUUUUUUUUUCCUGACCUGACAAAUGCUUUAGCUAUAGGGACUGAAAUCUCUAAUGAGCUGAAAAUUCUUGGGCAAAUGAAUGCUGAGAGAGUGAUGCUGUUAGUUUUUAGGUCCUGAGAAUUUCUCUUUGAAACCUAGCUACAUACAUUAUUAUGAUUUUGAUAUGCAUUAACUAUAAAAUAAUGCAAAUUCAUUAACUGAAGUUACUUUUUAUUUACAUACUUCAAAGUAUAAGGAAUGACUAUGCAGUUUAUGGCAGAUAUAUGUAAGGAUGUAUUUUUAGCAGGAUUUCAGCUACUUUUGUUAUCCAUAUAGUUGAUGAAAGGGAUCCGCUUUCAGCGUGAACAAACAAAGCAUAUUUUUGCAGUGUCUUUUCAGGAUUGAAAAAACUGUUGAGUUGAAAGCAAAGUCCAGUUAGUAAACCUCACUUUCAUUUCCCUCAUGUGGAGGACUGACCUAGAAAGAGCACUGCUUAUAUUUGGCUGCUGAAAUACUGUACUACAAAUACAGGAUGAGGAGUUCAUCUCACGUAGCUCCUUAUUUCCAAGAAAUCCAAGUGCCACUAGUAUUACAUAAGUCACCCAGGACACUAGGGUUGAAGUUGCUGCGCUGAGGCUUGCUUAGCACUGCUGUAUUAGUUGGCAAGCCAAUUCAACAUUUAUUUCAAGUGUAUGAAGGAGAAGCAGGUUCAUGAAUAGAUAAUAGAGAAGGCGUACAUUGUCUGAAUGCAUUAGUUCAAAAACAGUGUUCUUAAAAUACUGUUGUAUUGAAAGCAUGCAUUUGAAGAUCUUAGAUUAUUCAGUUUGCAAGUCAACACGUUCUGUGCAUUACACUUGUAUUGAAUUAUUAUGCCUCAGCUAAAUAAAGGUCCUCAUCCCUAAUGCUUGGCUUUUAUGAGCCUCCUACAGUAAUGUGUGUAAAGGCACAUGGGAGAGAAGGAGAGAAAGAAUUCUUUGUACUUUCAGUGUUUAAUGAACAGCACAGUUUUUGGGUCAUCUCAAAGAGUAGGCACAAUUUGAGCAGUAAAAGCAAAAGCAAAAUCACUCUUUUGAGAACGUUCUUUUGAGACUUACCAAGAUUUCCUUUAGCAUUGCCUAAUUGGCCCUGCUUUCUGACACAGCAUGAAGUGAGGACACAAAGAGCUCUCAACUUGCAGUGUGGUGUAGUAACUUCUUUCAUGAGUUGUACAUUAAAAAAUAAAGAUCGCAACAUGUACAGUCAGUAUUUAAAGAUAUGGAAAACCAGAAAUGUUUGAGAGGGGAGAGACAGGAGCAGAGAUGGUGGAAUAUAAACCCCUCUGACUUCAGUUUGCUGCUUCCUUCUGUAGUUUUCUGAAAAUUCUGAAGUGACUAUUUGUUAUCAAAUUGAUUUUUUCAAUGUUGUACCUAUUCUACUUUUGCCAGUCAAGACUCUGACUGGACAGGAAUGGGAAUACCUAACAUCAGUGAUUUGUAACAUACGGGGUCUCAAAGCUGGAAUUAAAACCUGACAUCAGACUCAAGAGUUUCACCUGCUGGUCUGAACACUGCUUCGUAGUGGGAAGAGGAUUAACAGAUGACUGAUCGCUGGCUGGGGAGUUCCUGAACUGCUCAAGGAAUUAAGUGUGCACUGGACAUGCAUAUGGGCACAGCACCGGUACACAGCUACUUUAACUUAUGAAAAAGAGAGUGAAGCAUACCCCAAAAGCCCUGAAGAUGUGUAAGCCUGUGCUAUGCCUGUGAAAAGUAAUAUUCUCAGCCUUUGCUCUUGUGCGUGACUGAAGAGACUGAAGAGGAUUAGACAUACUUUAAAUCUUCUGCCAAAUACUUGAGAUCAGAGUAUUUUUUAAUUGUCUGUACAUGCAAAGAACAAUUAUUCUGGUUAAGCCCAGGGUAUGAUGGCUGCUGUAAAAUGGACCUUUUCUAUUAUUGAUAAUACCGUUGGGGUUUCUUUAAGCUAGAUUGUUUAGGACUCCUUGAAAACUGUGAGAGAGCCCUCCUAGAAAAAAAUGCAUAAAUUAACAUGGAAUCCAAACCGCUUUUAUAUGUCCAAAAUAUGGUAAUUAUUAAUUUUUUUUAGAAAAAUAUCAGAUGAAACAAUUUGGGGUUUUUUUGGUGAAAACUCAUUCUCAUAAAAUGUCAGUGGUUAGGAUUAUCAGGUCUAAUAUUAACACUUUCUAUUUUUACUUAGCGUCUCUUGUUCUGACUAGAAAAAAUUACUUUAGGCCAGACAAACAUAACUUGACUUUCAUCCUUUCUCCCGUUUCCCUUUCGAAUGCCUACUCAAAUACUUCAAAAAAUUAUAAUCACUCCACUAAGAAAAGUUAACUUUGUUCCAGCCUCCUUUCUCUGCCUUUCUUUGAUUUUCAGUUUUUGGAAAAGUUUUCCAAAGAUUUUGUGUUGUUCCUAAAAAGAAACAGAUGCAUUUCUAAAACAUCUUUUCCUCUCACCUCCUUGACAAAAAUCUUGUUUAAGAAGAAAGCAAAUGGAUCCAUCAUUGGUUGGUGGCUUUCUUGUGUUCAGGGUGUGAAGCCAGAAAUAGCUUAUCAUUUUAUGGGAAUUUGAAAAUCUGAAGCUCUGUAAACCUAAACUUUUCUUUCUGAAAGAAGAUCUGAUGCACUUCUGCUCCUAGAAAUAGGUUUUGGCACCCACCCACCUGCAUCCACCCCCCAUAAGGAAGCCUUUACCCACAAUUUUUUAGCACUCACACAACUAACCCUGACAACUUUUACCAAACAAGGUAUGGAGCAGCAGACCUUAUGAUUAAUUUAUAAGUUGCUGUUGUGGUGGGUUUUUUCCUAAUGUUAGUUGGAAUUAGAGCCCUUACAGACAACAAAAGAAACCCCCCUUUAUUUUAUUUUAAGCUAGUUUCAAAACAGGUUUCUAAUUAAAUGACUUUGCUUUUUUAUCAACUUGACUUGCUAUCUCAGGUAAGAAGCUGUGGGUAUCCAGAUUACAGCUAAUGAAGUAUAUUUUAGAAACAAUUCUAACUAUCAUUUAUAUUUUGCUUCAGAGUCCUAGUCCAGACUCCAGGCUUCAGUACUGUAUUCAGCCCUAAGUGAAAUCGCUAAAUCUGAAAGUCUCCACCACCUGUUCUUUGUCAGAGACUACUAGCAUCAGCUCAAGCUAAAAGAAGUUAUUAUACAUGAAUGAACUGAGAGAAGUUAAUUUUCCACAGGCUUGAAUAUUACAAUAUUUGUUAGAAGUAUAAAAAACAUUACUUGUAGAGCAUUCUACAGGAAUUAAAAAAAAAAAAAAAAGUGCCAAAGCUUUAUUAUUCAUGAAUAACCUAAAAUCACCUAUACACAUAUUAGAAAUACAUAGUAUAAGUUAACUGGUUCUUUCUAAGUCUUGAACGCCACCUCCUUUGAAACAUUCAUAUCUGACAGGUUGUAAUGUUUUGGGGCAGUUCCAUAAUACUGGCUUUAAAGUCCCUCCUCCUCGCAGUGAACUCAUAAAUUAAAGCAAGAAACAAGGGUUUAAACUAUUUGUCAUCAGCUGUGCAUGCUUUUUAUUUAUCUAUCUAUCUAUUUAUUUAAUUAAUUAUUACUAUUUAUUGCCUUCAGAAACUUCUGAAAUAAUAAUCAUCACUUAAUUAAAACAAAAUUUUGCUCUAUCAUACCUUGCAUAUAUACACAAUCACUGUGCAAUAUUCAUUAAGCUUUCUGAAAAGAAAUAUCUCAUUUGCACAUAAAGAAAGAGCUUGUAUGGUUUAAUUAAAAAAAAACCUGUUGGUAUAAUUUAACUCAGUGAGAUCAGUACUGAGCUAGGAAAGUUCCUGAAUUAAAUAUACUGUGAUGUUUAUGCAUGUAUUUAUUCAGAUAGACCACUAUAUGAAUAAUGAUCAGGAGUCAUUAUUAGGAAUCCCCCGCAGAGGAAGCAAUCACUAAUAUUGAGUUUAUAUAUAUCACAGUUCCUCUACAGGUGGAUGAAUUAAGCCAUGGGAAGGACAGCUUAGUGUGUGUGCCAGAGUGUGUACAUGUGAACAUUGAGGUGGUUAGGUGGGAAGAAGCAUAGGGAUGUGGAAAGGAAUCUGCAACGAGGAUCACACACACAGUCAAGCUUCCAAGCUGAUGAAAAGACAGAUGCUUCUAUGGACCCUGUGGGGAUGUUAUUUCCUGCAACCCCAAAUGCCUCUGAAAGCUGCUGGACUGAGAUUAAGUUUGGAGCAACCUGUAAGGGCCCACUGGCUAUGAAAAAUGUAUGUGUUCCCAAAGCAUUUUAUUUUGAUCUGCCAAUAGAUCAGAAACUUGCUGCACUUAGAAAGCUUUUCUAUCUUUUGACAUGUUCUUAAGAAAAAUAGCAGACAGAUUCCUCUCAAGGCUUUGGCUGAAUUUAAGUCCUGUCACAAUGUAUUUAACUUUUUUUCCAGGAUAUUAUUUACUUUAAUUUCAGAUAUACCCUUUGUGAGACAGCCAUAAAUCAUAGGUCCACAUUUUUAGUCCUGAAUACUUAAACCUAUGCAUCUUAAAAUACAUACAGGUCAUUGAUCUGCCAAUUAGAGGUCUGCCCCCAAAAUUCUAAUGUCUGUUCCUUCAGAGAGAUCUCUCUCGUGGUCUGUCUUUGCCACUGAAAAGCACAAUUAAGGUACUAUUGAAGGUUAAAUAAUAGUAGUGUCAAUAACAUCUCCUAUAAAUGAGUGAGAAAUUGUUUCUGCAGAGUGCUCAAGCACUAUAAUGAACUGUAGGGAAGAAAUACUUAGCUCUUUAAAUGAGCUUUGGGAGCACUGGAGUAUUAGCUAUUAGGAACUGAAUUUACCUUAAACUUGCCUUCACCCAUCCAUGUAGAUUCAUAUCAUGAAAGCUAAAAAGUCUAGAGCUAAAGGUGGAAAAUGGACCCAUUCAAACUGCAGAAAUUUCUUCUUUCUCAUGAUCUGCCUGCAUCUCUCUCUUCACGGGCAAAGAGAACCAUUGUGAGACUCGUGACAGCCAGGGUAUAGAGCAGAAAAAGUUGAAAGCUCUCAUCUUUCAUUUACCUGCUAGAUGGCAGGUGUUGCCAUCUAACUCAGGGUGAUGACUGCUACACCUCCUCUCAACAAUUGCCAGAGUUGCAGGAAGCAAUGACACGUUAAAGCUAGACUAUCAGAGGGGACUGAAGGUCAUUCCUCACUGUCCAGAGGAGUGUAUUUGUGGUAAAGACAUUUUCAUAUGGUCAGCAAUUUGAACUUACAUUGUCUUUUUUAUUAUAGAAACUCCACACACCCGUUCUGGAUAGGUGCUGCAUGGGAAGUGUUCCUGUGCUUUUCUGCAUUUGUACCUAUGCAUAAAAAGACAUUAUUUAGCACUAGACACUUUAGCAUUCAGUUUUGAUCUGUAGUAAGACUAUAGAAUUUUGGCUGACAUCAAUAGGAGUUGCAUACUGCACAGGCAAAACUGUGCUCAGUCUGCGUAGUGUCAAGGAAAUUACAUUUAUUCAGAACUUUCUUGUGCUGCUAAUUAAGUCCUGGGUCAUUUAAAACUGAAUUGUUAAAAGCAGACAUAGGCAUCUGAUACAUAUUUCCACCUGGGUUGACGGGAUAUUGGAUGCAGCAAAUCAAAGUGCUUUCUGCUUUUAAUACAUAUUUUCACAUGUUCAUGUUCCAUUGUUCCCCUUGCUCCAAAAAAAUAAUCUUAAUCAUUACUUGCUUUGUAUUCCAUAACUAUCCUUGGCAGCAACAAUCUUUUAAAUCUAUCAUCACCAAAAGCAGGGAAGAUACUUACUUUUUUUUCCUUGUAUGAGAGCUAGAUAGAUACUGUCAUAAAAAAGUUCUCAAAGUGAAAGUUUUGCUAAAGAAAAAAGAAUUCACAGGAAGAAUUCAGUAACAAGUUAGCUCUAAACAACGAUUUCAUGAUCAGACUCCAAGGGCCUAAAUUUAGCUUUGCCUACACUGAUCUGAAUUGGUGAAAGGCUACUGUACUCUUUAAGGCAUCAGGGUAUUUGAAGAAAUAAACAUAUCCAACUAAUCUUUCUUAUUACAAGGGUUUAUAUUCUAAUUUUAAAGCACUACUUUCUUCUGUUUAAACAACAGCAAUGAAUUAUACAGAUAUUAUAUUAUGUAAGGCACAGGUACUUUUAAGUCUCAUUAAAUUCAAACCAAACAAAUUACUAGUUUUGCAUAUGAUCAUUUUGUAUGUCACCUUUUGAAGUGGUUAUUGGAAUAGAGUUUUUCUAAGUAAUCUAAUUUUCAAUUUAUUUUGCUUGAUUAUUAAGUACAGCUAGCAAUAUGGUCACAAAAAAAGAUUUUAAAAGAAACUAAAAUUGAAUUGAGCCUUGCAUAUGUUUCUUCAGGUGCUCAAACUGUUUGGUAUAUUCCUGAGAACUCUCUUCAUUAUGUAUUCACUAUUUGAACAUCAUUUGAGAGUAUUUGUUCCUCCUCUUGUUGAAAGCAUCUGCGGCUGCUGCUACAGGCAUGAUUUAAAUUUAUUGUCGCUGUAAUCAAAUAUAUUUUAAUAUGCUAAUUUUGAUGUUGUAUCUGGGCACUCUAAAAUGUGUUUAUUCCUGUGUCUUUAAACUUAGAAUUUAAUUUAUACUGACAGUAUUACUUUCAUAAGGGAAUUUAAUGUUCCAGUGCCCUGUAGAAUGUUUUAAUACCUAGUUUAAAGACUUGAUAGCCAUUAGAGAACCAGAGGCUUUUCUCUGAUGCUAUAUCCUGCAGAAAAAAGGUGAUAAUUUGCCUCUGUAAUACUUCUGAAUGAACCAAAUAAAGAUUUUUGUCUUGGGUACACAUAAUUAUAAUAUGUAGGCAUCAUUGCAGAAAAACAGUUUAGUCCAUUAGAAUGUGAAACCAGUACUUACACUUGUUUGUUAUACUACAAUAGAAGAAUGGGAAGAAAACAAUACAUUGGCAUAGACAUUUA